AGCAGUAGCCGCGGUAAUACGUAGGUCCCGAGCGUUGUCCGGAUUUAUUGGGCGUAAAGCGAGCGCAGGCGGUUAGAUAAGUCUGAAGUUAAAGGCUGUGGCUUAACCAUAGUACGCUUUGGAAACUGUUUAACUUGAGUGCAGAAGGGGAGAGUGGAAUUCCAUGUGUAGCGGUGAAAUGCGUAGAUAUAUGGAGGAACACCGGUGGCGAAAGCGGCUCUCUGGUCUGUAACUGACGCUGAGGCUCGAAAGCGUGGGGAGCAAACAGGAUUAGAUACCCCUGUAGUCCCUGUCUCUUAUACA
rnacentral:rRNA from 1 species